rnacentral:rRNA from 1 species
GACGAACGCUGGCGGCGUGCUUAACACAUGCAAGUCGAACGGGAUUUAGUAAACAGAAGCCUCGGUGGAAGAUUACUAAUGAGAGUGGCGAACGGGUGAGUAACGCGUGAGCAACCUGCCUAUGACAGUGGGAUAGCCUCGGGAAACCGGGAUUAAUACCGCAUAAAAUCGUAGAAACACAUGUUUUAACGGUCAAAGAUUUAUCGGUCAUAGAUGGGCUCGCGUCUGAUUAGCUAGUUGGUGAGAUAACAGCCCACCAAGGCGACGAUCAGUAGCCGGUCUGAGAGGAUGAACGGCCACAUUGGAACUGAGACACGGUCCAAACUCCUACGGGAGGCAGCAGUGGGGAAUAUUGCACAACGGGGGAAACCCUGAUGCAGCGACGCCGCGUGAACGAAGAAGGUAUUCGUAUCGUAAAGUUCUGUCCUAUGGGAAGAUAAUGACAGUACCAUAGAAGAAAGCUCCGGCUAAAUACGUG